GAACUCAUAGCAAGUAUGAUCAUAUCCUUAACUCAAAGGAUUAUAAGUUCAAUCUUGACUUUACACUAGCUCUAGUGUUCUUUACAUCACUUUAUGUUGCUAACUCAUGCAAUCACCUUCUUUACAUUACUUUUACUUUUGCUAACUCUAGCAAUUAUAUUCUUUAUUCCCCACAUUACUUUAACAUUACACAUCGUCAUUUUCAUCAUUCUUUACAUUACAUUGGUUCUUUACAUCACACUAACUCUAGUGUCAUUUCACAUUAGCUUUAUCGAAUGCCACUCGAUCUAUG
rnacentral:lncRNA from 1 species